GUGGGGAAUCUUGCGCAAUGGGCGAAAGCCUGACGCAGCCAUGCCGCGUGAAUGAUGAAGGUCUUAGGAUUGUAAAAUUCUUUCACCGGGGACGAUAAUGACGGUACCCGGAGAAGAAGCUCCGGCUAACUCCGUGCCAGCAGCCGCGGUAAUACGAAGGGGGCUAGCGUUGCUCGGAAUUACUGGGCGUAAAGGGAGCGUAGGCGGAUAGUUUAGUCAGAGGUGAAAGCCCAGGGCUCAACCUUGGAAUUGCCUUUGAUACUGGCUAUCUUGAGUAUGGAAGAGGUAUGUGGAACUCCGAGUGUAGAGGUGAAAUUCGUAGAUAUUCGGAAGAACACCAGUGGCGAAGGCGACAUACUGGUCCAUUACUGACGCUGAGGCUCGAAAGCGUGGGGAGCAAACAGGAUUAGAAACCCCUGUAGUCC
rnacentral:rRNA from 1 species